CACCAGCAGCUCUAGUGGUAGCAAUUUUUAUUGGGCCUAAAGCGUCCGUAGCCGGUUUAAUAAGUCUCUGGUGAAAUCCUGUAGCUUAACUGUGGGAAUUGCUGGAGAUACUAUUAGACUUGAGACCGGGAGAGGUUAGAGGUACUCCCAGGGUAGAGGUGAAAUUCUGUAAUCCUGGGAGGACCGCCUGUUGCGGAGGCGUCUAACUGGAACGGUUCUGACGGUGAGGGACGAAAGUUAGGGGCGCGAACCGGAUUAGAUACCCGGGUAGUCCUAACUGUAAACGAUGCGGACUUGGUGUUGGGGUGGCUUUGAGCUGCUCCAGUGCCGAAGGGAAGCUGUUAAGUCCGCCGCCUGGGAAGUACGGUCGCAAGACUGAAACUUAA
rnacentral:rRNA from 1 species